rnacentral:pre_miRNA from 1 species
GUGGCUGGGCCAGGGGCUGCAACACAGGACAUGGGAGCUACCUGCCCCUCCUGCUCGUGUCUUGUGUUGCAGCCAGUGGAACAGU